rnacentral:rRNA from 1 species
GGUUGUUCGAGACUAGAACGUUGAUAGGCAGGGUGUGUAAGCGCUGUGAGGCGUUGAGCUAACCUGUACUAAUUGCCCGUGAGGCUUAACCAUACAACACCCAAGGGGUUUUGUA